UACGUAGGGCGCAAGCGUUAUCCGGAAUUAUUGGGCGUAAAGAGCUCGUAGGCGGUUUGUCGCGUCUGCCGUGAAAGUCCGGGGCUCAACUCCGGAUCUGCGGUGGGUACGGGCAGACUAGAGUGAUGUAGGGGAGACUGGAAUUCCUGGUGUAGCGGUGAAAUGCGCAGAUAUCAGGAGGAACACCGGUGGCGAAGGCGGGUCUCUGGGCCGAUACUGACGCUGAGG
rnacentral:rRNA from 1 species